rnacentral:rRNA from 1 species
AGCGAACGCUGGCGGCAUGCCUAACACAUGCAAGUCGAACGGCAGCACCGUAAGAGCUUGCUCUUACGGGCGGCGCGUGGCGGACGGUUGAGGAAUACACCGGAAUCUACUCUUUCGUGGGGGCUAAUGUAGGGAAACUUCCGCUAAUACCGCAUUCGACCUCCGUGUGUAAGCAGGGGUUCUUCUGACUUUGCGCGAGUGUAUGAGCCGAGGUCGGAUUCGCUAGUUGGCGGGGUAAAGGCCCAGCUAGGCGACGAUCCGUAGCUGGUCUGAGAGGGAGGUCAGCCACACUGGAUCAGAGACACGGUCCCGACUCCUACGGGAGGCAGCGGUGGAGAAUAUUGGGGAAGGGGCGCAAGCCUGAUCCAGGCAUACCGCGUGGGUGAAGAAGGCCUUCGGGUUGUAAAGCCCUGUUGUUGGGAGAGAAGAGCAGCAGGUUAAUACCGCGCUGUUCUGACGGUACCGAAAGAAUAAGCACCGGCUAACUUCGU